CGAGGAAUAUUGCGCAAUGGGCGCAAGUCUGACACAGUAACGCCGCGUGCAAGAAGAAGGCCUUCGGGUCGUAAACCGCUUUUCGGAAGAACGAGCAAGAACGGUACCUCUGGAAUAAGUCUCGGCUAGCUACGUG
rnacentral:rRNA from 1 species